rnacentral:lncRNA from 1 species
UCAACUGAUUCUAGGCGACAGUUAAGUCGCAAAACCCUUCAAUCUUCCCUCUUUCACUCGCUGCGUACUUCUGCCCAAUUCCGGCUGCAAUCCGCGCAAUUGGAUUUGAAAGUAGCUUCCCGACAGGAGUUUUAACAUAGGGGCAAACGACGCGAUAGGGAACGGCCGUCCAGUCCAGUACACGCGAUGUCCGCAGCUGCAAAAACGCGCUGCUUUUAAUAUACGACACGUUCUAGUCACAACUCACCAUUCUACAAACACAGUUUUAAUAUUUUAUCAUCAACACACACUUGAAAAAAAAAGGAUCGAUCUCAUAGGAUCGUUAAAUGUUAAAACUUUAAUAUGUAUAUGUUCUUACAAGUAUGAGAAUAUGUUAUCAGUAUGUGAUUAAGUUCUGUAUGUUGCAGCGGAUAAAAAAACGAUGGCUAUAGAUGAUACAGUUGAAGGUAUAUAAAAUAUGUAAUGAUGAUCGAUAUUAUUGAUAUAUGUAAACUUGACAGGAAUAACUUGUUUAGUUUAAUUUAGACUAGAUAUUGGAAUGUAUAUAUGAGAUGCAGCAGAUAUUUAAAUGUGAUAAUAUGAGAUGGUAUAUAAGAAAAUAACAAUACAAUGUUCAGGUAGGAGAGUUAGCAGAUGACGAUGUGGAUCCGUAGCAGGAGUUGAAGAAGAGCAGGAAGAGUUCGUAGAGCAGAUCGAGACAUUCGGAUAGAGGUUGCAACAGCGAUUCCCUGUGCGAGAAUGAUCUUGGAUUUUAG